GAUGAACGCUGGCGGCGUGCCUAAUACAUGCAAGUCGAGCGAACAGACGAGGAGCUUGCUCCUCUGACGUUAGCGGCGGACGGGUGAGUAACACGUGGAUAACCUACCUAUAAGACUGGGAUAACUUCGGGAAACCGGAGCUAAUACCGGAUAAUAUAUUGAACCGCAUGGUUCAAUAGUGAAAGACGGUUUUGCUGUCACUUAUAGAUGGAUCCGCGCCGCAUUAGCUAGUUGGUAAGGUAACGGCUUACCAAGGCGACGAUGCGUAGCCGACCUGAGAGGGUGGACGGCCAGACUGGGACUGAGCCACGGCCCAGACACCAACGGGAGGCAGCAGUAGGGAAUCUUCCGCAAUGGGCGAAAGCCUGACGGAGCAACGCCGCGUGAGUGAUGAAGGUCUUCGGAUCGUAAACCUCUGUUAUUAGGGAAGAACAAAUGUGCAAGUAACAAUGCACGGCUGGACGGUACCUAAUCAGAAAGCCACGGCUAACUACGGG
rnacentral:rRNA from 1 species